rnacentral:Y_RNA from 1 species
GGAUGGUCCCAGUGCAGUGGUGGUUACAACUAAUUGAUCACAACCAGUUAGAGUCCUUUGUUCCUUCUUCAUUCCCACUGCUUCCCUUAACUAGCCUUAA